rnacentral:rRNA from 1 species
AUGGAGUGGUGGCUCACCUUAUGUUUGAUAGCCCUAUCCACGCUACUUGCCCUUUGGUUUUCUGGUUGCAGGAGCAAGUCCAUGAAGCACCUGCCUCCUCCUGGGCCAUGGACUCUCCCGGUCAUCGGUAGCCUCCACCACAUCCUAAGCGCCUUCCCACACCGUGCCCUUACUGAUCUGGGUCGCCGGCAUGGGCCAGUGAUGCUCCUCAAGCUAGGCGAGGUCCCCCUCGUGGUGAUCUCCAGCGCCGAGGCGGUGGCCCAGGUGUUCAAGGCGAAUGAUGUCGCCCUGUCGAACCAUAGUAGCUCCAGGUUGCAGGACAUCGUGGGCUUCGGCGGUAAGGGCAUCUUGUUCGCCCCCUAUGGUGAGCACUGGCGUCAGAUGCGCAAGGUAUGUAUCACGGAGCUCCUCAGCACCAAGCAGGUGAAGCGCAUGGAGGGGAUCAGGGCCGAGGAGGUGGGAAACCUCAUCCGCUCCAUCAAUACAGCAACAGCUGCCGGCGCAACCGUCAACGUCAGUGAGAUGGUGUCGGUGCUCAGCAACGACAUUGUGACACGGGCGGUGUUUGGUGGCAAGUUCGCACGGCAGGAGGAGUACCUCCACGAGAUAGGCAAACUCAUGGAUCUGAUAGGAGGCUUCUGCCUCGUGGACCUCUUCCCGUCGUCUUGGCUGGUGCAGUGGUUCAGCACUGCCGAGCGCCGUACAAAGAGGAGCUGUGAUCUCAUCCAGAGCAUCAUCGCCGACAUCUUUGAGAAGCGCAAGGCAGCGCGAGCUUCCCGUCAUGGCGCCUACAGCGACGAUGAAGAAAUGCUGAACGUGUUGCUCAGGCUGCUGGAGGAGGAUUCGCUGGCCUACCCUCUAACCACAGAGAUUAUAGUCACCGUCAUGUUUGACAUGUUUGGAGGUGCCACAGAGACUACAGCAACCACUUUGGUGUGGGCUAUGUCAGAACUCAUAAGACACCCUAAUGUUCUGGCUAAGGCGCACUUAGAGGUUCGAGAGGUACUAGGUGAGGGUCGAGCUAUCAUUGGCAAUAGCGAUCUUGCAGAACUCCACUACUUGCGGAUGGUCAUCAAGGAGGUUCUUAGAUUGCAUGCACCUGGUCCUUUAAUCCCCCGCAGGACUAGAGAGAACUGCAAUAUUAUGGGUUAUGACGUCCCUAAAGAUACCAAUGUAUUCAUCAAUGUCUUCGCAACUCACCGGGAUCCUCAAUAUUGGGACAAUCCUGAAGAGUUUAAUCCGGAGAGGUUUGUGAACAAGAAUAUUGAUUAUAAUGGGACAUAUUUUGAAUUCACCCCAUUCGGAGGUGGGCGAAGGAAAUGCCCUGGAGUAGGCUUCGCUUCGUCAAUUUUGGAGAUUACUUUGGCAAACUUUCUGUAUCACUUUAAUUGGACGCUUCCCGGCGGAGCCAGCUCAGUGUCACUGGAUAUGUCUGAGAAAUUCGGGGUCACUGUACGUAAAAGGUCUGACCUAUGGCUCAAGGCUAUUCCACAUGUAUGCUCCAAAGCAACACAUAUAUAG